rnacentral:hammerhead_ribozyme from 1 species
AUCCAGCUGAUUAGUCUCAAAUGAGACGAAACGCAUGUCCUAGAU